ensembl:antisense Gm15862 predicted gene 15862
GUGUGUGUGCGCGCGCGCGCGCACGCGGGUGUUGUAAACUGUCAGGAGGCUGUGCCAAGUCAUCAGAGAGAGGGGUCCCCUUCCUCCCAACCAAGGAGCACGACCCAGUGUCUUUCAUCAGGAUUAGAGAUGCACAAGCUCCUAAGCAGUGGCCUCGAAGGAGAUCUCUUUCCUCCAGGAACCAUCAGCUUGAUGGCACCUCGUGCAUCCACCCUCCUCUCCUCCCUGACAAGAUAACACUUAGCUUUGGUUCAAUUUCUUUCUCCCAUCUUUCUUUUCUCUGUGGAUGAUAGACCCCAGAGCCCUGAGCAUGUAAGCAGGUAUCGCCCCACCAAGCUGCACUCUAACCUCCUGGUGCAGA